rfam:Agrilus planipennis Contig1284, whole genome shotgun sequence.
ACUUUACAACUUUUACUUUUUAUCAAAAGAUAUUGUUUUGUCGCUAAAUAUUGUCUGUAUUAAAUUUUGUCGCUUUUGUCAUAAGGAUGCAUAUCUUAAUUGAGGUAGAGGGGUUUUAGUCGGUAGGUCCAAGGACUUCUUUCUCGGGAAUCCGACACUACCCAGUCGUACGGACGGCUGGGUGUCUUCUGAAGAUUUCCCCUCUUCCACGAAA